GCAAGUCGAACGGUAGGUCUUAAUUUAUUAGGACUGAGAGUGGCGAACGGGUGAGUAACACGUAGGCGACCUGCCCUGGAGAGGGGAAUAACCGGUGGAAACGUCGGCUAAUACCCCAGAUGUUAAUGGGAUUAGAAGCCAUUAACUAAAGCCUUGGCGCUCCAGGAGGGACCUGCGGCCCAUCAGCUAGUUGGUAGGGUAACGGCCUACCAAGGCAAAGACGGGUAGGGGGCGUGAGAGCGUGACCCCCCACACUGGUACUGAGACACGGACCAGAUACCUACGGGUAGCAGCAGCAAGGAAUAUUGCCCAAUGGACGGAAGUCUGAGGCAGCAACACCGCGUGGAGGACGAAGGCUUUCGGGUCGUAAACUCCUUUUCUGGGGGAUGAGAAAGGAC
rnacentral:rRNA from 1 species